AAGGUCCUGGGUUCAAUCCCCCGUACAACAAAUUCUCUAUUGAAAAACAGAGAAAUAAGUAAACAAACCUAAUUAACCCCCCCAUUAAAUAAAAGGAAAUGAUUUGUAAAGAGGUAGCAUAGCUUAUUUAUCUUGCUGGAGGUUACUUGUUCUUGGCAGAAGUGAGAAGAAAAGGUGUUUUAAUGGAAUGAGUGAGUUGCUCACCAUAUUUCUAGCAUUCUUUCAGAGCUGGCUUCACAAGCCUCUGAACAGCCAAGGAAUGUCCAACAUCCUGGCCUGGAACAUUUGUCACUUUUAUCUUGGUUUGGUUUCUGAUGACUUUUCAAUUCCCCCCAAUCUCAAACUCAAAAGAAAGUGGAUUGUGGGUGGCAGUGUCAGCCAGAACACCCUCUCUGGAUGGCAGCUCCUCCUCCCAGACUUCAUUCUCCGGGUGUGCACAGGGACAUACAGAUGUCCAAAGGGCGAGCACACAGAUUCAUCCUGGCAUGUUUGUAAUAGCAAGAGCUUGGAAACAUCCUAAAAUGAUAAUAUGAAAUCACUUGGAUGCUGAACUGUAGCUUUGAAAACCAACAACCCACAAUCAGAGUGAAAACCAACAGCCUGGAAGCUACUGGAAAGAGCAGGACAGGGUUGGCGUUCUUUCAAAGCCUCAUUCACAGAGAGCUGUCAUUAUUUGACGUGACUGGUGGUUCCUAGGAAGACUCCACUGCCUGGCUGUCUUUAUUUGUCACGACUAGGAGCACCUCCAGUGCAUUGUAGAGUUUAAAAUACAAUUGAAAUAAAGAGAUAGGAAUUUGUUACCAAAUCCAAGGCUGUGAAGACUUAUCAAUGUUUUCUUCUAAUAGUUUUAUCUCUUGUAUUUAGGUCUUUGAUCCAUUUUGAGUUAAUUUUUAUAUAUGGAGUGAGGAAGAGGUCAAACUUCAUACCUUUGCAUGUGGUUAUCCAGUUGUCCCCGUGCCUUUCGUUGUAGACUAUUCUUUUCUCACUGAAUGGUGUAUUGAAUUGUGCACCCUCCUCAAAGGAUAUGUUGAAAUCCCAACCCCCAGUACCCGAGAAUGUGACCUUAUUUGGAAACAGGGUCAUUGCAGAUGUAACUAGUUAAGAUGAGGUCAUACUGGAGUAGGGUACAUCCUUAAUCCAAAAUUACUGGCGUCCCUAUAGGAAGACACAGAUUCACAGAGGGAUCAUGGCCAUGUGAUGACAGAAGCAGAAAUUGGAGUGAUGCAGCGGGAUUGCUGCGGAUGUCAAGGCCAUACACCAGCAGCUAGGAAAAGGCAAAUUCUCUGCUACAGGUUUCAGAGGGAGCACAGCCCUGUUGAUGCUCUAUUCGUAGCCUCCAGAACUGUGAGACAGUAAAGUUCUGUUGUUUGAAGCCAUCCAAUUUGUGGUACUUUGUUAAGGCAGCCCUAGGAAACUAAUACAAAUGGUAUCGGAACCAAUGUUAGAAAUCAAUUGACCACAGAAGUUUCUGGACUCUCCAUUCUAUUCCAUUGUUCUAAGUGUUUGUAUGUCAGAACCAGUGUUUACUCUAGCUUUGUAUUACGUUUUGAAAUUGGAAGCGUGUGUCCUCCAAGUCUUUUUUUUUUUUUCAAUAUUGUUUUGGUUAUUGAAAGCCACUUAAGUUUCAUAUUAAUUUUAGGAUUAGAUUUUCUAUUUUUACAAAACAGGCCAUUGGAAUUUUGAAUCUGUAGAUUGUUUUGAGAAGUAAUGUCAUCUUAUAAAAUUAAGUUUUCCAAUCUAUGAACAUGGAAUGUCUUUCUAUUUAUUAAGGUUUUCUUUAAUUUCUUUUAAACAAUGUUUUGUAGUUUUUUUUUUCCCCUAGGUUAUAUAAGACUCUCACCUCCUUGGCUAAAUUUAUUCCUAGAUAUUUUAUUCUUUUGGAUGCUAUUGUAAGUGGAAUUGUUUGCUUAAUUUCCUUUACAGAUUGCUUCUUGCUGAUGCAUAGAAAAACAACUGAUUUUUGUGUCGGUUUUGUACUCUGCAACUUUCCUUGAUUCACUUAUUCUAGUAGGGUGUGUGUGUGUGUGUGUGUAUUCUAUGGGAUUUUCUAUGUAGAGAAUCAUGUUAUCUGCAGAUAGUUUCUCUUAUUCCUUUCCAAUUCAGGUGGCUUUUCUUUUUCUUGCCUAAUUGCUCUGGCUAGGACUUCCACUAUCUUGAAUAACAGUGAAAGCAAGAAUCCUUGUCUUGUUUCUCUUCAGAGGAAGCUUUUAUUUUUCACCAAUGAAUAUGUUAGCUGUGAUUUUUUUCAUAAAUGCCCUAUAUGUUUACAAAGUCUUAAAUUUUGUCAAGUGCUUUCCACAGCCAUUGAGAUGAUUCUGUGGUUCUUUUCCACUUUGUUCAGUUAUUGGGGUGUAUUAGAUUAAUCAAUUUUCUUAUGUUGAACCACCCUUGCAUUCCUGGGAUAAAUCCUACUUGGUCAUGAUCUAUGACACUUAUGAGCUGUUAGAUUUUGUUUGUUAAUAUUUUUGUGCCUAUGUUAAUAAGGGAUAUUGGUGUAUAGUUUUCCUUUCUUGUGAUGUCUGGCUAGCUUUGGUAUAAGGGUAAUACUAGCCUCAUAAAAGGUUUAGAAAACCAAGAAAAAAAAAGUGAACUCUAUCAAAACUAAAAACUUAUAUCAAAGGACACCAUCAAGACAAUGAAAUGACAAACCAACAGAAUGAGAGAAAAUACUUGCAAAUCACAUGUCUGAUAAGGGUUACAUAUCCAGGAUAUAUGAAGAACUCAUAAAACUCAACAAAAAGACAAAUAACCCAAUUUAAAAUGGGUAAAGGAUUUGGAUACGAUGAAAAUGAAAAAUUUUAAACUAUUGGAAAAUGAAACAUCUAAAACUCCCUCUGGGGGGUUAGAAAACAAUGAAGUGGGUGCUAUGAAUUGGAGGGCACGAACUAUUUAUUGUUCACAGUAAGCCCUGUAAACUAUUUGGCUCUCUACACCAGUAAUUCUCAAUAUGGUGUGAUUUUUGUCCCUCAUAGGACUUUUAGCAAUGUAAAUGCAUUGACUGUCACAACUGCGGGAUGCUACUGACAUCUAAUGGGUAGAGACCAAGGAUGUUGCUAAACAUCCCACAAUGCACAGGACUGUUCUCCAAACAAAGGGUUAUGUGGCCCAAAAUGUCAACAGUGUUGAGGCUGAGAAAUCCUGUCUAAGCUAUGUGUAAGCUUUGAUU